rnacentral:lncRNA from 1 species
UGAAGACAAACUUACAACACUUUCAACAUGGUUAUAUGUUUUUAUGAAUAAAACAUUGAACAAAAUUGAUCAAGAUCAAAUACAUUAUCAAAGAAGGAAAAAGUUCUAAGUUCAUAAAAAACUAUGGCAAUAAGACUUGGAUCACAAGAAAUCUUCAAUAUAACAUUGGACUUUAUUGGAUUGAUCUAAAAAGUAAGGUACAAGUUACAAUUGAGCUUUGUAUAUUACCAUAUUACUCAGAACAA